UAGGGAAUCUUCGGCAAUGGACGAAAGUCUGACCGAGCAACGCCGCGUGAGUGAAGAAGGUUUUCGGAUCGUAAAACUCUGUUGUUAGAGAAGAACAAGGACGUUAGUAACUGAACGUCCCCUGACGGUAUCUAACCAGAAAGCCAUGGCUAACUACGUGCCAGCAGCCGCGGUAAUACGUAGGUGGCAAGCGUUGUCCGGAUUUAUUGGGCGUAAAGCGAGCGCAGGCGGUUUCUUAAGUCUGAUGUGAAAGCCCCCGGCUCAACCGGGGAGGGUCAUUGGAAACUGGGAGACUUGAGUGCAGAAGAGGAGAGUGGAAUUCCAUGUGUAGCGGUGAAAUGCGUAGAUAUAUGGAGGAACACCAGUGGCGAAGGCGGCUCUGUGGUCUGUAACUGACGCUGAGGAUCGAAAGCGUGGGGAGCAAACAGG
rnacentral:rRNA from 1 species